rnacentral:rRNA from 1 species
GACGAACGCUGGCGGCGUGCUUAACACAUGCAAGUCGAACGGAAAGGCCCUGCUUGCAGGGUGCUCGAGUGGCGAACGGGUGAGUAACACGUGGGUGAUCUGCCCCUUACUUUGGGAUAAGCCUGGGAAACUGGGUCUAAUACUGGAUAGGACCAUGCUGUAGGUGGUGUGGUGGAAAGAUUAGUUUCGGUAAGGGAUGAGCUCGCGGCCUAUCAGCUUGUUGGUGGGGUAAUGGCCUACCAAGGCGUCGACGGGUAGCCGGCCUGAGAGGGUGGACGGCCACAUUGGGACUGAGAUACGGCCCAGACUCCUACGGGAGGCAGCAGUGGGGAAUAUUGCAAAAUGGGCGCAAGCCUGAUGCAGCGACGCCGCGUGGGGGAUGACGGCCUUCGGGUUGUAAACUCCUUUCAGCCAUGACGAAGCCCUUGUGGUGACGGUAGUGGUAGAAGAAGCACCGGCUAACUACGUG